AGCGAACGCUGGCGGCAGGCCUAACACAUGCAAGUCGAACGGACCCUUCGGGGUUAGUGGCGGACGGGUGAGUAACACGUGGGAACGUGCCUUUAGGUUCGGAAUAGCUCCUGGAAACGGGUGGUAAUGCCGAAUGUGCCCUUCGGGGGAAAGAUUUAUCGCCUUUAGAGCGGCCCGCGUCUGAUUAGCUAGUUGGUGAGGUAAAGGCUCACCAAGGCUACGAUCAGUAGCUGGUCUGAGAGGAUGACCAGCCACAUUGGGACUGAGACACGGCCCAAACUCCUACGGGAGGCAGCAGUGGGGAAUCUUGCGCAAUGGGCGAAAGCCUGACGCAGCCAUGCCGCGUGGAUGAUGAAGGUCUUAGGAUUGUAAAAUCCUUUCACCGGUGAAGAUAAUGACUGUAGCCGGAGAAGAAGCCCCGGCUAACUUCGUGCCAGCAGCCGCGGUAAUACGAAGGGGGCUAGCGUUGCUCGGAAUUACUGGGCGUAAAGGGAGCGUAGGCGGACAUUUAAGUCAGGGGUGAAAUCCCAGAGCUCAACUCUGGAACUGCCUUUGAUACUGGGUGUCUUGAGUGUGAGAGAGGUAUGUGGAACUCCGAGUGUAGAGGUGAAAUUCGUAGAUAUUCGGAAGAACACCAGUGGCGAAGGCGACAUACUGGCUCAUUACUGACGCUGAGGCUCGAAAGCGUGGGGAGCAAACAGGAUUAGAUACCCUGGUAGUCCACGCCGUAAACGAUGAUCACUCGCUGUUGGCGAUACACAGUCAGCGGCUAAGCAAAAGCAUUAAGUGAUCCACCUGGGGAGUACGGCCGCAAGGCUGAAACUCAAAGGAAUUGACGGGGGCCCGCACAAGCAGAGGAACAUGUGGUUUAAUUCGAUGGUAAGCGAGGAACCUUACCAGGUCUAGAAAUCCUAUCGUACGCGACCCCAGAAACGGGGAAGCCUCCAGG
rnacentral:rRNA from 1 species